UAACCCUCACCCCUGGGAUGUCAAAGUCUCGGACGGUGGACUUGGACGCUGCCGUGAAUGGCUCGUCCUGAAAUGCAUUAGCUGGUGCUAGUUAGAGCGCUGGGCGUGGUGUGAUAAUUAUCUGCUCCGUUGCCUUGGGCCUCUUCUGCGUGCGCCGCUCAUAGCCGUCCCUUAGCGGACAACGUUAUAAAG
rnacentral:misc_RNA from 1 species